rnacentral:sRNA from 1 species
UGGCAACAAAGUCAAAACAGACAUGGAC